rfam:Culex pipiens quinquefasciatus supercont3.456 genomic scaffold, whole genome shotgun sequence.
GGCUCCGUGGCUUAAUGGUUACGACUUCUGCCUCACAAGCAGAAGGUUCAGGGAUCAAAUCCCGGUCGGUACCU